UACGGAGGACCCGAGCGUUAUCCGGAUUCAUUGGGUUUAAAGGGUGCGUAGGCGGAACGGUAAGUCAGUGGUGAAAUCCUGCAGCUUAACUGCAGAACUGCCAUUGAUACUGCCGAUCUUGAGUAUAGUUGAUGUGGGCGGAAUGUGCCAUGUAGCGGUGAAAUGCUUAGAUAUGGCACAGAACACCUAUUGCGAAGGCAGCUCACAAAACUAUUACUGACGCUGAGGCACGAAAGCGUGGGUAGCAAACAGG
rnacentral:rRNA from 1 species